rnacentral:tRNA from 1 species
GAGAGGAGCUGGUUGAGUGGUUUAAAACAGCGGUUUGCUAAAUCGCCACAUAGUAAAGAUGUUCUAUGUCAUGGGUUCGAAUCCCAUUCUUCUCA